UUUUUUUUUUUUUUUUUUUUUUGUCCAUGCUGAAGAUGGAUGAUAAAUGCUGUUUUCUUCAUCAAAACUAGUAUUGGAGGAUAAAGAAGAACUCUCAUCAUAAUCAUUGAGAAGGUAGUAGUAAAUCCUUAACUGCUUAUUCUUAUUAUUCCUAAAUUCAACCGGAAUACACUUUCGGAAAAUUAACACCAGUUAAUUUAUAUACGAGGAAGUUAUACUAUUCUCUUUUGGGGUUUCAUACCAAUAAUUGUAAUUCAAUAAAUUCUUGAUGUAUCAUUCAAUAAUUCAAAUUUCUAAAAUCAUUAAGAGUUGAUAUUUCUUUUUGACAAAUUGAACGAUAAAUUAAUACUAAUCAUCAAUAUGGUAUGAAAAAAGGUGCUCUAGAACUCCUUUAUUAUUCUUUCAUUGAUGAUGAUGACGAAGAAAAAUGAAGGGAUGGCCUUUCAUUGAUGAAGCAGGACGGUAAACAGAUUUGGGCAAGACAGAAAUUUUGACAUAGACCCAACUAUCAGCGAAGCCCAUUUAGCAAAAGUUUUUGGGGGUUUUGGUGAUAAAAACUUUGCAUAUUUGUGGGACAAGACAAAUUCUUGAGCAACCAAAACAAGCGAAAGUCGAUUACGCUUGAGGAAUAAGUAUCCCCUAAGGACAAAGUUGAUAUUUCAAACAAUUAAUUGUUUACGUGACGAGUGUUGAUUGGCUUCUGACCCGAUAGUAGGACCCAACGGACUAUAUAACUAAUAUAUGAAGUAUAAUUGGGGUUCUUAAUUUUAAUUGAGAAUUAAUUUUCAUCUCUCCAAUUUCUCUAAAAAAUUCUUCUCUUAUUUUCCUCUCUAAUGUGAAAAUCUAAGGGUGCCAAUUGAGUGUCAAAUUUCUUGGACACUUAGGCCUCGAGAAGUUCUUUAAUUUGCCAUGUCAACUCUCCCCUAGAUUAAUGCCCAUAAAAAAACUUAUUUUUUUUAAAGAAUUUAAGGUAGCCCUUUGGAUUUGGAUUUUGGAGGGUGCGAUGUUUGCUUACUCGAAUUUAUGCACAAAAUUACUUAGGUUUGACAUUAAUUAUUUUGAUUCCAAUUUCAAUAAGUGAAGUACCUAAGAACAGGAUAACUAUUUUGGGCAUAUAUUUAUUUGUGAAAAGAAAAUAAAUUUCUCAAUAUAUAGUUAGAUAAUUCUGACUUUUUUUUUUCCUUUUUUUUUGCGGGGAUAUAUAUACAUACUUGGAUGAUAUAUUGACUGAUAUAUUUAUUGUCUGCAUACACUUCAAAUUAUGCAGACUUCAAAAUUUGAGAAAAGACAUCUGCCCCCAAGUCCUCCCAGUAAUUAUACUACUACAAAGACAAACCCGAUACAGUUUCAAAGAUGUGGGAUUGUGGAAGAAACAACAAACAGCCGUCUUAAAUAGGAUAAACGUCUGAAAGGAUCUGUUUAUUGAGAAAGCAAGAUUGUGGACAUUACGAGCUGUGGGAGAUAGGGUGGAUGCACUUCCUGCCUUGGUUUCAUGAACUAUCCGGCACGAUGAAAUUGUCCCAGGUUCUUUUGGCUUAUCAUUUAGCACAUGCAAUGUGUUCUAGUUCAUCCACAACUUCUUUCAUUGGUGGUCUUGCUUUAGGCUCAGACGCAAGACAUCUCAGAGUGAGCUGAGCCAUCUUCAUUGCAGCUUUUAUUGGGUAUUUGCCUUCCAACCGAGAAAUGAGGCUUGAUCCAAUCAACCAAGUUGUGUUUCCCCGGCUGGCGAUUAACGUCCACAGCCCUUAAACCUGUUAGCACUUCGGCCAUUACAACACCAAAACCAUACACAUCGCUCUUCACAUACAAGCGCCCUGUUACAUAAGAAUUCUGCGUCAUUAUGACUUCUGACCUUUCGAUUGGCAUCUUGCUCAGACUUGAUUUAAGCCAAACUAAUCAAAACUAUAGCUUCUACUACUGUACUGCCAUGAUCUCAAGCAAGAAUCUUGAAAGAUCUAUGUAUGAUUACCUGUUGCCAUAUACUCAGGUGCAGCAUAGCCAUAGGUCCCCAUAACACGUGUUGUCACAUGUGAUUGACCAUCCGAAGGACCCACCUUUGCCAAUCCAAAAUCUGAUAGUUUGGCAUUGUAAUACUGAAAACAAAAUGAUUAAUCGACGUUACGAGCAAUGAGGCUUCUCAAGGUAUCAUCUAAACACCAGCACUUUCAUAGCCUAACCUGGUUGUAAAAUGCUUUGAGGAUAUUGAGUAUAAUAAGAAACCUACAAGCUUUAGUAAAUCAACUGUAGAAAGAACUGACUCACAUCCAACAACCUUGCAUUGGUCAAAUAUAGGACAACUGAUGAAGUAUCUUAAUCUAACUUGCACCAUCAAGUAGUAUGUGUGAGGCCUUGAAAUCUCUGUAGAUAACUUCUCUCUUUGAUGCGUGCAAGUAUGCUAGAGCUCGAGCUGCUCCAAUUAAGAUCUUAAGCCUUAAUUCCCAUUGAAGUGGUUGAACAGAAGAGCCCCCUAAAGACAAAAAAGCACCAGGAAACAAAUUUUGUAAUCGCAUCAUUACCUUAGACGAUGCUAAAAUCUCUGAAUUUCAGUUAAAGGAUAGUAAACAUCUCACUUCCAAAGAGGUGGUUGCCAAAGCUGCCCCUUGGCAUGUACUCAUAGACAAGGAGCAGCUUCUUAUCCUCCCAGCAGUAACCAAGGAGCUUAAUAAGGUUGGGAUGAGAAAGCUUUCCAAGUAUGCAUAUCUCAGUCUGCAUGAAGAAAUUUGAGAGAAACUUUUGAAGCAACACAGGAAAUGAGGAAAUCUUCAAAAUCAACACAGAAGGCGAACAAAAUCUCUUCAUGUAUCAUAAGAGUAAUUGAUGUAUAUCUCCAACAACGUCAAAAUAAUCUUUCUAGUUUCCUCUUUUGAGUAGAAAAAGUAGAAGAUAUUAGCAAACACUUUCUUCAGUAAAAACUCAACAGCCAAUCCGUUAACAUUAUUAACAUAAAUUGUUAUGCAACUUUGCUCCACUUAUUGGAACUUAAUCAUGCAAUUUUCAAAUAUUCAUUCUUCAUACUUAAUAUUGUAUUUUCUGUCCUACCAAUUAAUAUCACUGUAUUUUAAGUUUCACUGCUACACCUGAAUUCACUAGCUGUUCUUUACACUGCACUCCCCCUUGGGCAAAGGAAACUACUGUCAAUUUUGAUUCUUUCGAUCCUCUGAGUAUACGCCCAUGACAACCUUAACUGGCAUCACCAAUAUAUAGCAUAACUUAUGCCAAAUUCUGAGUAGGUCUAAUGCAUUAGACUCUCUUUGUAUAAUUGCUAUAAGCUCUCAAAUCAUCAAGAUGAAUGAUUUCAUUUUGGAAAUUUGUUGCAGGCAACUUGGUCGAUUAAACAAAACUGCUUUAGACAAACAACUGGUACUUAUUCCUUUUUGUUUUUCACAGGGAAAUGAUACAGUGAAGGAAAAGACCAGCAAUGAAUUAUUCCAAGAGAGGUGGCAUCACAAAAAGGGCAAGCUUUAUUCCAGCCUAUUAUGUACCAGUAUUUUAUGUGCUGAGAUAAUUGAUUCAGAUAAGAACAGUUUGCAAGGAAGAAGUAAGCAAUCACCAACUAAAUCCAAAAAGACUAGAAGUCGAGUUAGUUACACGUUUAGUGUAUCACCUGCCACUCAAACCCUUGAAGACUUUCAGGAUUCAUCUUUUUAACUGCAAUAACUGAUUGAGUACCGCCCUUUGAUGUUGACUUAUCAUGAAUCAAACCUUUGUAUACUCUUCCAAAUCCACCUUCUCCCAGCACACUAUCACUUCUGAAAUUUUUAGUUGCAGCUAUGAGUUCUUGGAAAGUGUAAACUCUCAAGUUUUUGCGGUUAAUGAUGUCCCAAAUUGGAUCAGUCUCCUCAAUUAUUGGGGUCUCUGAAAAUGUUGCAUUAGCAGAUCCCUGUGAUGUACCUGCCCAAAAAGCACUUGUAAUUGACCUUUGUCAUCGUUCAAUGAAUUCAUACUUAAAAACUUGGGGGGUAGGUGGAAGAGAAGGGAGGGAAAGAAUCUUUUGUGGUUAUGUUUUAUAUAUGAUGCAAUCUGAUUCAAAGAAGUUAAAAGAAUAUAAGGUAGUCUCUAAUUAUCCCCAGACAAGGCAAGCACUUGGAACAGGAGGGACUUGAGAGGAAAAUAAAAUAAGAAAAAACUAAUUCUUCAGUAAAAUAAGAAAAAACCAGUUCUUUCAGAAAUAUAGUUGUACCAAAGAUCAUAAAUUUGACCAAAGGAACUAUGUCAAACAUGCUGGGACAUGUCUCAUACCAAAAAAUGCUUACAGUUGGCAAAAAGUUCAACUUAUGUUGAAAGAAUUUCAGUAAACACACAGACAACCUCAGCAAAUAUGUUAAUGCAAAAAUAUAACAACCUAACGAUUCCAGUUUGAAUUAACUAGUUUCAAUUGUCCAAGCAGAAAGUAGCAGGAAAUACAACCAAAUUCAGGCCUGCUCAGAGAAGAGCUCAGGCCCUAGUUUUAGAGAACCUACCUACUCCAGUCAUUCCUUCAGUUGCUCUUGUCUUUGCCACUGUGCUAAGUACACCAUCAGGCCAUGGGCUUUCACAAGUAGAGAACGUUACUGACUUAGGGUCUUCCAAAGCUUCAAGUAUACGUGGCAUUACAGGCCGCUUAGAAGGCUUGGGAUUUAGGCAAGCCAUUGCAAUGAUAGCAACCGCCCACCAUUCAAUCAACUGAUCCUCAUUCACUUCUAAAGAUGGAUCCACAAUGUUCACAAAGAGUUCCUCGUCAUAAGUACUGAUGUAAGGCAAAAUGUUUUCCAUCCCAGCAGUGAUGCUCAAAUCAUUGUGAUCACCAAAACUGGGAUAACCCGUGACUAGUUCAAGCAAAACCUUUCCAAAGCAAUAAACAUCAUAGGCACAUGUUGCAUUCAAUGAACCUGGUCAUUUAAGUUAAGAUUUAGACUAAAGGCAUGGUGAAGUAUGUAUUUUCUUAUCUUGCUUAAUCUUUAAAAGCCUUUUCUUACCAAACAUGUAGCUGGUCUUAAGCAAAUGAAGAAUUUUGAACCAAAUAAUAAUAAAGCUAACUGGUGAUUGUUCUGUGUGGAUACCCAAUCUCUCAAAGUUUUGAACUUUUUUGCUAUUCCCAUUGUUCAUUUUUCUUUACGGUUUCAACUUUCAAGCAGCUGUUCACGGUUCAGAUUUAUGGUCCGCCAGUUUUCUAUUCUUCUUCCCUUCUGAAUUUGGUGUGUAAGAUGUAAGAUUGAACUGAAAAUCAGAAGCGAAUCUACCAUUUCUAGAUAGUGCAAAGAUAGGGAAAAAAAAUGAAAGAACAAACGAACGGUUUCUGAAAUAAAUUUCAUAUACCUGCAUAGCCUCCUUCAGAAGCCCUGAAUAUAAAGAAAAAGGAGUAUUAUCAAAAAUCUCAAAUAAUUGACAUUAGGUAAGAAUUGCAGUUGCAACUCUGCAGAUGAUAAGGCAUGAUAGAUUUGAUUAACUAAAUACUGUUGUAUGCUUAAACAAGAGAAUCCGGCUCUAAUAAAGUAACAUCUUUAGCUUCUUUCUUAGAUUAAAUACAUCAAUCACUAACGCCACCCCUGGUACAGAAUUUAUGUGCGUGUUGUUAUUCCUUUUAUGAGUUCAAAGAGAUAAAUUACAAUGUCAAGGCUUCAGCCUCUGCAAGAAAAUCCUCUGAUGCUUGUAGUCAAAGUCCAAAGUUUUCUCAAUUACAAUUACUCCAUUGAUGAAAAGCUUCUUGUACUCUAAAUAUUUUCAUUCCAAGGAUCCACUUGAUUAUGUCAUUAAACUCUUCUCAAGACUAAAACAUGGCCAAAUUAACAUUGCAGAAUAUUAAUCACUAGACACUAUAUCAGGAUAGAAUUUAAGAAGUAUCACAGGAAUAACAAAUACUUAGAAAUAUCACGCCUCAAAAUACUUACUUUGACAACCGUAAUAACCUUGAAAUCCUGUUCUGAUUUUUCUGCUUUUUCUCAGUACAGACCUCACUAAGCCUCCCUAUCCAUGCUUCAAAGUUUUCAUCAAUAAGUAUGCUGCGAGCUUCAAAAUUUCUGUAACGAUUAUAUCAAAAUCAUGCCAAUUGACAAGUGAAGCCCAUAAUGGAAUGCUCAAAGUUAAAAAAUGACACGUGAGGAAAAAAAAAGGAAUGAAAAGAAAAUGGAAAAGCAUUGCUCCAACACUAUUAUGCGAUUCACGUGCAAAAAGAUUCCAAAACCAAAACUGGACAGCCAUCACUUUACCAUCAGGUGAAGGGCUGUAAGGUAUUGCCGCCCAGUUAGAACCUCCAAUAUUUUUUGUCCUCUAAAUUUGCAUUUUAUUUAUGUCAAGAGGCAAGGCUAUAACAUGCCAACAAGCAAGAUUCUUGGGUUUACCUAUGAACAAGGGGUGGAACACAUUCAUGAUGCAGAUAACACAAACCCUGUGCAGCUCCAGUCGCAAUCUUCAACCUCGUAGCCCAACUUAAUGAUGUCGAUUUUUGACAAUCAACUUUAAUGCCAUCCGGGGCAAUUCCCCUAUAAUUCAAACAACUGGACAAGUCCUUGUUAAGCAUGUAUUUGUAAACCAGAAACGUGUUAUUGCCAUUCUCAAAGCAAUGCCCCAGAAAAGGAACUAAUCUAGAAUGAGAAACCUUGCCAAGAAUUUCCAAUUCAUUUACCAAGUAUGAAGACACUGACAGAUCAACCUUUUUAACAACCACCUGAAGCCCACCUUCUAAAACACCAUAAAAAAGAUCCCCAGAGCGGCCACGCUUGAUGAAAUUCGAUUUACUGAAGUAAUCGGUGGCUAGGAGGAUUUGAUCAUAAGUAAAAGAUUUCCCAACUGCUGGUAAUCUGGAGGAAUUGUUGAAAGACGAAACUUUGGUAGAAGAGGAAGCGAAGUUAAAGGAGGAAGAUGAUGAUAAUGAUGCUGAAGAAACAUCACUUGGGGUCCUAAGAGCACUCAGCCGGAGCUCCUCUCUGCGAAUAGUGGCGCUGACUAGCCUUUCCCAAUUGUCGUACACUGCUGACAUUCUUCAUCAAUAGUUUACUACUAAGGUACACAAUUUUUCGAGGAUCAUUAAUGUUGUAAUCAUUAGUACGACAUAAUCAAACUCUGAUAUUCUCAUUCCAUUACAUACUUUACAUACAACUGAAUUAUUAGUACUAUAUCAGAGACUACUAGUCUAACUCUAUGAUGGAAGGUGAAGAGGAGGAAAUGGAUCUCUUUCUUCGUCUCGUGGACUUGAUCGGUUGACUUGGCUGACUUGGGUCCGUGGCAAAAAAGACGAAAAAUUUAUUUCUCAUCACCUAGUGGUGGAUGAAAACGGAUUCUUUUUUUUUUUUUUUUUUAUUGCAAAAGUACAAUGGUAUCAAAAAGUUGUGUUUAUGUUUACACAUUAUUGUAUUAAUGUUUGCAUUAAAUAUUAGUAUCUACAUUUAUUGUAGCAAUGUCUACAUUGAACCAUAUAUUUGAAAUUAAUAAUUCACAAAAUGAUUGGUCCACACCUUGUAUUAAAUAUAUAAGCACAGAAAAAUUAUUCCCAACACCUCGUAGCCUUGAACUAUUAGAAUUAUAAUCCUUCAUUCACGCAUUUUAACAAACAAGGCAUUAGAAAAUACAAUAAAUUACGCUCUCAAUGCCCUCUACUAAGUACUAGAAACUAGAAAAUGAACCGCAGACUCAUGCAACCCUUUACAAAAAGUUUUCACCAACUACAAGAGAAAAAUUAAAGCAAAAUGUAUGAUAACAUAACUCAUGUCAGUUAUCUUAGGUGUACUGGGAUUAGUGCUGAAUUUUAAACAAAAAAAAAAAAAAUCUUCAUCAGGUUCUUACGUUCUUACAAAACAAAAAAAAAAUUUGAACUCAAAAUUUUCGCUAAAUGACUUUUCCGCAAGACAACAACAGUGAAUUGGGUUCUAGAUCUUUUAACCAUCCGGAGCAUAAUCUAGCAAAAAAAUUCUUGUAAUAGGGUUAGCUCAGUGGCUUAAAUGCUCCUCCUUCAUUGGUGUAUUCUGCCCUCAAUGUGGACAUUGUCUUGAAUCAAUGAAAUUUGACAUUUCUUUUUAUCGAAAAAAGGGAAAAAAGAAUGGAGGGGUCUUGAGCACUACUGAUGCAAAGUAGCUAACAGGAAGGGGAAAAAAUAGAAAAGAAAAAAAAAAGAAGAGAAGUUGACUUCAAGAUUUGGCCUAACAACUGUAGCAGGUUCAAGAUUUAUCAUAUCAGCUUCAUGUAAUUUCCUGAAUCCUCUCAGAAGGCCUAGAUUUUUAUGUAUUAUGGGGUCUCAUUUGACUCCUAGGUGAAAAGUGAAUGCGCUCUUGGGUUUAAUGGAUUUAUAACUGAUUAAUAAUGGCAUUGAAUAUUUGUGUAGUACGACCAUAGUUGGAUACACUAUUCUUCACUUUAUUGUCAUUUACUUUCCAAAUAUUUUGGAUUCUUAAGGCCAAUGAUUAGUUAUGCUAAUAAAUACAUUAAGAAUCAAAGACUUUAAGGAGGAGCUAUCUUUUCCUUUAUCUUUUUUCCUUUUUUGAUUAGAUUUGUUGUUAGAAAUAGCUAAGGUUGUGUUCCCAUUGCAAUUUUUAAGAGUUUUUGGGGGAUUACUGUGGCAUAAUUUAAAAUGUGAUGUAUAUAAAAUAAAAAGGCGAUUGAAAAACAAGUGUUGAUUUUUUGGAGUAUAAACUAAGAAAAAACACCUUCGUGUUGCAAAAAAAAAAAAACUUAUAAGAAACUUGUAUUGAAUCUAAAAAUAAGCUUGUGUUAUUUAUUCAUCAACUCACUAUUUAUAGUGUUUACAUGAAAUAAACUAACAAAAUAUCCAUCUAGCAAUUAUCCUAAAAUAAUCUCAACGAAACAUAAUCUUCUACUAGCAAAUCUUCGCAAAAAUAUUUGUUAACAAACCAACAUGAUCUUUGGUUAACAAAUAUACUUACUCUUCAGAUUAUUCUAAUACAAAACAUAAUCUAGUAAAAUCUGUAGGAAAAGUUAGUAUAAUUCGACAAUGUGUAAGAAAAAUUCAUGAAAAAAAAUAAAUUUUUUGAUAAAAAAAAAUCCAAACAGUGGCUAACUUUCCAUUUACUUGUUCUAAACGUGACAUAUUUUUAGGCUAGGAUGGUAGACUAUCGUAACUAGUAGCACUUUUUUUUUUUUUUUUUUUUGUCAAAAGUCAUCUUAGUAACUUUUAUACUUUUUAAAGCAUCAUAUAAUGAGAAAGAGAACAAGACUAUAAAAAUGAAAUGCCUAAAACAAAAAAGAUAUAAACAAAUAUCGACAUUCUGUUUAAUUAAUUAUUAGGUCAUGACCAUCAUAUACUGAUCUUGAGUCUAAAAAAUUAAAUAAAAGAACCUACGGGUUCUUUUUUUUUUUGUGGUAGCAAAAGUAUUUAUGUUGUUAUUACCAUUUGAUUAAUAAAUUAGUUGUAUCAAAAGUUUAAAAAGAAAUCUAUAAAUGUAAAGCAACUAUAGAUUUCUUGAGUAUGAGGAAAAAGAAGAGGAUUUCUACAUAAAAUAAACUUGAAAUAGGUAAGCUUCAUGUAGAAGCAACUUUUAUUUUUUGACUAAUCAAAUGAAAAAGGAGUCUAUAUAUGAAAUGGUUUAAUGAGGUUCAACAAGCGUGCAAAAUAAAUAUUAAGCUUCCUGAGCAUGGGCAGUUUAACCUUUUUCUUUUCUCCAUUUUUACCUUUAUCUUUUCAUCUGAAUCUUUGUAUACCUCCACAACUAAAAACCAGGAAACCCAUGGUAAUAAAGAAUAAUUCCUUCUUGUCUAGACCCAUUAAUGUUAGGAUUUGUUAUUUGCAAGCUUUUCUCUUAAUUCUUUCCCUUAUUUACUUUACCAGGACAAUCCUGUUCCUCUUCGUUCUAUACAUUACUGCAUUUGUAAACUUAACUAAGAAUAUGCCAUUUAGAAACUAGAAAGCCUCAGCCCAUGUGUAUAAGCACUAUAUCAGGUUCAAGAUUCAUGAUAUUUUUCUUCACGUGAAAUUUUCUCAAUGUCCAAAAUAAGAUACCGUGUAAAAGGAUACAGGACAGUUGGUAUCAUCUCAAUUCCCACAAAUUUGACGUUAGGUAAAUGUUUGAAAGCAUCAUCCUCAGGGUCUUAACAGAAGGGGUUAAAUGUGCAAUAACCAAUCAACAGUUGAAAUCUUCUCAAUAUCCCACCAGAAUGUGAUGUGUAUUUUGCAGAAACUUGGGCACAAGUGACUCAUUUUCAAUAACAAUUUAUGAUGAGACAUCAGCCCCCAAGUCCUCCUUCCAGUAAUUAUGCUACUACAAAGACAAACUCUAUACAGUUUCAAAGAUGCGAAAAUGUGGAAGAAACAACAAACAGCCGUAUUAAGUAGGAAAAAUGUGUGAAAGGAUCUGUUCAUUGAGAAAGCAAGAUUAGGGCAUUAUAUGUUGUGGGAGACAGGGUGGAUGCCCUUCAUGCCUUGGUUCCAUGAACUAUCUGGCACGUCGAAAUCGUCCCUGGUUCCUUUGGCUCAUCAUUUAGCGGAUGCAAUGUGUUCUAGUGCAUCCACAACUUCUUUCAUUGAUGGUCUUGCUUCAGGAUUAGAAGCAAGACACCUUAGAGUAAGCUGAGCCACGUCCACAGCAGCUUUUAUUGGGUAUUUGCCUUCCAACCGAGAAUCCAUUAUGCUCGUUAUCUUUCUUUUGUCCGAUAAAUGAGGCUUGAUCCAAUCAACCAAGUUGUGUUUCCCCUGCUGACGAUUAACGUCCAGAGCCCUUAAACCUGUUAGCACUUCGGCCAAUACAACACCAAAACCAUACACAUCGCUCUUCACAUACAAGUGUCCUGUUACAUAAGAAUUCCACGUCAUUAUGACUCUUGACCUUUCGAUUGGCAUCUGGCUCAGACUUGAUUUAAGCCAAACUAAUCAAAACUUUAGCUUCUACUACUGCCAUGAUAACAAGCAAGAAGCUUAAAAGAUCUAUGAAUGAUUACCUGUUGCUAUAUACUCGGGAGCAGCAUAGCCAUAGGUCCCCAUAACAUGUGUCGACACAUGUGAUUGACUAUCCGAAGGACCCAUCUCUGCCAAGCCAAAAUCUGAUAGUUUGGCAUUGUAAGACUGAAAACAGAAUGUUUUGAUCAAUGUUAAAAGCAAUGAAGCUUCCCAUGGUUCAAUCUCAAAACAGCAUUAUUCAUAACCUAAAUUGGUAUGUAAGUAAAAUUUUUACAGCAAGCAUAUGGAGUCUAAGAAAGAAAUUUUAGCUUUAGCAGACAAAUCAAGAAAAUUUUGCAUCCAAUAAACUUGGAUUAAUAAAAAAAAUAUGAGUAUUAAUGAGGUAUAUCGAUCUAACUUACACCAUCAAGUAAUAUGGACGAUGCCUUGAAAUCUCUGUAGAUAACUGGUUUCUUUAAUGCAUGAAAAAAUGCCAGAGCACGACCAGCUCCAAUUAAGAUCUUAAACCUUACAUCCCAUUGAAGUGGCUGAAUAGAAGAGCCCCCUAAAAAUAUAAAAAACACCACGACACAAAUUACUGCAUGGUAGAUCAAUACCUUAGAUGAUGCAAAGCUGUUUGCAAAUACUGUUAGGAUAGUAAAACUCUCACUUCCAAAGAGGUGAUUCUUAAAGCUGCCCUUUUGCAUAUACUCAAAAACAGCAAACAAUGCUCCAUUAUGCCAGCAGUAACCAUGGAGCUUAAUAAGGUUAGGAUGAGAAAGCUUUCCAAGCAUCCAUAUCUCGGACUGCAUAAAGAAAUAUAAAGAACCUUUUGAAGCAACUCAGGAAAUGUUUGACAUCAACACACAAGGUGAAUUGUAUCUAUUCAUAAAUCACGAGGAAUUGACAUACAUAUUUAACAACGUCAACCACCUUUCUCCUUUCCUCUUUUAAGUGGAAAAUGUAGAAGAUAUAACAAACACUUUCUUCAGUAAAAAACUCAUAAGCCAAUCCACUAACAUUCAGGUUCUAUUAAUGUAAAUUGUUGUGCAACCUUGCACCUUCUUAUUUGACCUUAAUCAUGGAAGUUUUGAAUAUUCAGUCUUCAUACUUAAUUUCCUUCCCUUCAUCUAAUAGUGUUGUAUUUUAAACUGCUAGAUCUAAAUUCACUAGCUGUUCUGUACAUGCCACUACCCAUUGGGCAGUGGAAAGAGAACCAUGCAAGGGAAACUUUUUUUUUUGUCCAUUCUGUGAAUACAUGUCCAUGACAACUGUGACUGGCAACACCAGAUAUAGCAUAAUUUGGGCCAAAUUCUAAGUAGGUCUAAUGCAUUUGACUCUUCUUGUAUAUUGUUAGUAUGAUCUAUCAAGUCAUCAACAUGAAAGAUUCCUUUUUGGAAGUUGACGCAAGCAAUUUUGUUGAUAAUAAAAAACAGCUUUAGAUGAACAACUGGACCUUUUUCUUCUUCUUUUUUCUUUGUCAGGGAGAUGAUAUGCCUAAAGAAAGGUCAGUAAUGAAUUAUUUCAAGAGAGAUGGCACUACAAAAAGGAAAGCUUUGUUCCACCCUUUUAUGUUCCAGUCUUUUAUGUGCCAACAUAAUUGAUUCAGCUAAGAUGAACAAUGUGCAUGAAGGAAGAAAAAAGCUGAUACCAAUUAAAUCCAAAAUGACUGUAUAUCUUCAGUCAGUUACAAGCUUAGUUUGAAUUACCGUGCACUGCUCAAUUCCUUGAAGACUUUCAGGAUUCCAUUUUUUAAUUGCAACAGGUGAUUGACUGCCGCCCUUUGAUGUGGACUUAUCAUGAAUCCAACCUUUGUAUACUCUUCCAAACCAACCUUCUCCCAGCACUCUAUCACUUCUGAAACUUUUAGUUGCAGCUAAGAGUUCUGCGUAAGUGUAAAUUCUCAAGUUAGGGAGGUCGCUGAUAUCCCCAAUUGGAUAAACCUCCUCACUUUUGCUAUCCCCAAUUGAAAAUGCAGCAUUGGUGUUUGCCUGUGAUGUACCUGGCCAAAAUGCACUUAUAAUUGUCCUUUGUCCCGGUCUAAUGAUUUUACACAUAAAAAACUUGGGGGGCAAGUGGAACAGUUUUAUCAUGUAAAUGUGACUCAAAGAAGUUAAAAGAAGUUAAGGUAGUUUCAAAGUAUCACCACACCAAUGGUAGCUCUUGAAAUGGAAGGUAUAAAAAAGGAAAUUAAAAUAAACAAAAACCAAUUGUUUCACAAAAAUAAUUGUACCAAAGAUAAAAAAAAAAUUGACAAAGGAACCGUGUUAAAAUGCUGGGAUAGGUAUUGUGGAAAAUUUGCCUACUGUUGGUUAAAAUUUUGAACUAUUCUGCUGAAAGAAUUUCAGUGAACAUAAGGGUAAUUAAUACAAAUAUAUUUGUGCAAAAAUAGAACAGCCUAAUAGAUUCCAGUCUGAACUAACAAGUUUCAAUUGUCCAAGCAGAAAGUAGCAGGAAUAUAAACAAAUUAAGGCUUGCUCAGAAAAGAAACUGGAGCUCAGGCUCUAAUAUUAUGGCACCUACCUACUCCAGUCAUUCCCUCAGUUACUCUCGUCUUUUCUGAUGUGCCAAGUUGACCAUCAAGCCACGAUCUUACAUAAGUAGAGAACCUUACCGACUUAGGAUCUUUUAAAGCCUCAACUAUGUGUAGCAUUUGAGGUCGCUUAGAGUGCUGUGGAUUUAGACAGGCCUUUGCAACAACAGCAGCUGCCCACACUUCAGUCAAGAGAUCCUGAUCCACCACUAAAGAUGGAUCAACAAUGUUCACAAAGAGUUCUUUAUCAUAAGUAUUGAUGUAACACAGGACUUUAUCCAUCCAACCAUUGAUGCUUGAAACAUUGUGAUCAUCAAAACCUGGAUGACCUGUGACUAGUUCAAGCAAUACCUUUCCAAAGCAAUAAAUGUCAUAGGCACACAUUGCAUUGGAUGAACCUGGUCAUUUAUGAGAAGAUUAAGACAAAGGUACGGUCAAGCAUAUGCUUUUAGUAAUCUUGUUUAACCUUUAAAAGCCAUUUCUUAUCAAACAUGUAGCUGGGCAUAAGCAGAUGAAGAAUUUUUCGCAAAAAAAUAACAAAGCUAACUGAUGAUAGUGCUGCUUUAAGGACACCCAAACUCUCAAAGUUUUGAACUUUUUUGCUAUUUCCACUAUUCUUUUUUCUUGCAGUUCAAAUUUCAAGCAGCUGUUCACCAUUUAAAUUUAUGGUCCACCAGUUUUCUAUUCUGCUUCCCUUCUGAAUUAUAGUUUGUAAGAUGUCAGAUUGAAUCGAAAAUCAGAGGCUAAUUACCAUUUUUCGAUAGUGAGAGCAAAAAAUAAAAAGAACAAACAAACUAUACUGCAAUAAAUUUUACAUACCUGCAGUGCCUCCUUCCGAAGCCCUGAAUCUAAAGAGAAAAGAAUAGCCACAAAACUCAAAUAAGUCACAUUGGGUAUGAAUUAUAAUUACAACUCUAUAGAUUUGAUACAUUGGGUAUAAAUGAUAAUUAUAAGAGAAUCUAGUGCUAGUAAAGUAACACCUUUAGCUUCUUUCAGAUUAAAUACGUCAAUCACUAAGAGAACCCCUGGUUCAGAAGUUAUGUGCAUGCUAUUAUUUCUUUUAUGAGUUCAAAGAGACACAUUACAAUGUCAAGCCUUCAGCCACUGCAAGUGAAUCCUCUGAUUCUUGUAAUAAAAGCCCAAAGUUUCCUCAAUUAGAACUAUAACAUUGAUGAAAAGCUUCUUAUACUGUAAACAUUUUCAUUCCAAGGAUCCACUUGAUUUUGUGAUUUUACUCUUCAGAAGUUUAAAACAUGGCCAUGAUAUUGCAGAUUAUUUACCAGCAGGCAUUUUAUGGGAAUAGAAUUGACUAGGAAGUCUCACGAGAACACCAAAAACUUAGAAGUAUCACCAUGGCACAAAAUACUUACUUUGGCAACCAUAAUAACCUUGAAAUCCUGUUCUGAUGUCUCUCUUUUUUCUCGGUACAGACAUCAGCAAGCCUCCCUAUCCGUGCUUCAAAGUUUUCAUCAAUUAGUAUGCUGCGAGCUUCAACAUUUCUGUAACGAUUAUACCAAAAUCAUGCCAAUUGACAGGUGAAGCCCAUCAUGGAAUGUUCAAGAGGUCAAAAUGACACAUAAGGAAAAAAGGAAUGAAAAGAAAAAGGAAAAGCACUGCUCAAACACUAUCAUAUGAAUCAUUCACAAAAAGAUUCCAGAACCAAAACUCAAGAGCCAUCACUUUAUCAUGAGGUGAAGUAUGCUGAGAUAGUAGGGGCGAGUUAGAACCUUCAACAUUUUAUGUACGUCAAAUUUACAUUUCAAUUAUAUCAGGAGGUAAGGCUCUAUGCCUAGGAAAAUGAAUAUGCCAACAAGCAAGAUUCUUGGGUUUACCUAUGAACAAGGGGUGGGACACAUUCAUGAUGCAGAUAACACAAACCCUUUGCAGCUCCAGUCGCAAUCUUCAACCUCGUAGCCCAACUUAAUGAUGUCGAUUUUUGACAGUCAACUUUAAUGCCAUCCGGGGCAAUUCCCCUAUAACUCAAACAACUGGACAAGUCCUUGUUAAGCAUGUAUUUGUAAACCAGAAACGUGUUAUUCCCAUUCUCAAAGCAAUGCCCCAGAAAAGGAACAAAUCUAGAAUGAGAAACCUUGCCAAGAAUUUCCAAUUCAUUUACCAAGUAUGAAGACACUGACAGAUCAACCUUUUUAACAACCACCUGAAGCCCACCUUCUAAAACACCAUAAAAGAGAUCCCCAGAGCGGCCAUGCUUGAUGAAAUUCGAUUUACUGAAGUAAUCGGUGGCUAGGAGGAUUUGAUCAUGAGUAAAAGAUUUCCCAACUGCUGGUAAUCUGGAGGAAUUGUUGAAAGACGAAACUUUGGUAGAAGAGGAAGCGAAGUUAAAGGAGGAAGAUGAUGAUAAUGAUGCUGAAGAAACAUCACUUGGGGUCCUAAGAGCACUUAGCCGGAGCUCCUCUCUGCGAAUAGUGGCGCUGACUAGCCUUUCCCAAUUGUCGUACACUGCUGACAUUCUUCAUCAAUAGUUUACUACUAAGGUACACAAUUUUUCGAGUAUCAUUAAUGUUAUAAUCAUUAGUACGACAUAAUCAAACUCUGAUAUUCUGAUUCCAUUACAUACUCGUAUAUACAACUGAAUUACUAGUACCAUAUCAGAAACUACUAGUCUAUAUAACUAAGGAUGGCAACCGCCCGCCGGGGAGGGGAGGGGGGGGGGGUCCGCCUCACUGCCUACUAAUUACCCUCGCUCCCGCCCCGAGGCUAAUAAUAAUUUUUUUAAUAUAAUUUUAUUAUUAUUAAAAUUUUAGCAAAUUCUUAAGUACUAAAAUAUCAAUACAUCACUAAAUUAUUAUUCAUUAUAAUUUCACAAUUAAAACUCAUAAAAAUAAUCAAACAAAAGUUGUUUGAAUAUAAUUUAACAUGAUGAAAUAAAUACAACUAAAGUGGUCAAGUUUUCACAUUUAACACAAAUACAAUCACUAAUUUAUUAUUGUACUUGUAUUUUUUUUUUUGAAAAAAAAUAUUAUUGUACGAAGUGUAAUUAGUAAAUUUAGUAUAAAUAUAUUAGUAAAUUUAAUAUAACUAAUUAAUAAUUUCUAUUAAUAAAUAUAUAUAAUUACUAGUAUAAUUGAUAAUAUCAAUUAUAUUAUAUAUACUAAUAUAUAUUAUAUAAUAUAUAUAACUAAUAAUAUUAUUAUCAAAAAUUUGUCACUAAUUAAAUUAAAUAUUAUAUAUAAUUAUAUGCAUAUUUUUUUAUUUUUUUAUUUUUAGCCGAUGGCGGCCGCCCCAGCCCCGUUUUUAUAUGGAGGGAAAAAAUUCCCCUCCAUCCCAACCUCUGCCCCAUUAGCCUAUUGUCAUUCCUACUCUAUGAUGGAAGGUGAAGAGGAGGAAAUGGAUGCUCUUUUUCUUCGUCUCGUGGAUUUCAUCGGUUGACUUGGCUGACUUUGGUCCGUGGCUUAAGAAACGAAAAAUUUAUUUCUCAUCACCCAGUGGUGGAUGGAAACGGAUUCAGAUAUUCUGCGCUCACUAUUGUGAUUGCACAGUGCAAUGGUAUCAAUAACUUGUUGUGUCUAUGAAUCUUAUUGUAUUAAUGUUUACAUCAAAUAUUGGCAUCUACGUCUAUUGUACCGGUUUCUACAUUGGAUCAUAUACUCGAGAAGUGAUUGGUCCAGACCUUGUAUUAAAUGUAUAGACACAUAUAAAUUCUUCCCAACUCUCUACUACUCAAAGUUAGGGGUGGCAAUUUCUGACACGACCUGAAAACACGACACGAACCUAAUACAAAAUUAAUAUGUUUGAGUUGAAGUUUCGCGGGUUUGAGUCAGAAUCAGGUCGAACCUAAUGAACCCAAAAAGAAAAUAGGUCAACCCGUGGGUGACCCGAUAACCCAUUUAUGAAUUAAAAAUAACUUAAUAAAUAUAAAAAAUAUUUUAUCUAACUAAACUAAGUUAUUCUUUUUUUCCAAAGGCAUUAACCACUUAAUCUUAAAUGAAUUUAUUUAACUUGUGUGAAAUUGAAAUUAUUAUGUUUGGAAAAAUAAUGUAUUACAUUAUUUUUAACAUUUAUAUUGUUUUAAUUUAUUUUAGAUUUGGUUUGACAUAAAACACUUUUAUGGUGUUUUAAUUUAUUUUAGAUCUGAUUUGAGAUUAUUUUAUUGAAAUUUUUAUUAUUUGAUUAUGUAAUUAGUCUUGUGCGAAAUUGGUUCUAUUAGAAAUUACAGUGGUAAAUUAAUAAAUUAAAAUUAUAUUUUAGGUCAUUCGGGUCGACCCGCCAACCCGAAAUUUUCGAGUUCCGGUCAAGUAUCCUGACCCUUUUUGGGUUGACAGGUCAUGUUCGAGUCAGCGGGUUUCCUGUUAUACUCGAGUCUCAACCCGACCCAUCAACCCAUUUUUGACUCGAUUGUCACCCCUACUCGAAGUCUCGAACUAUUAGAGUUAUAAUCAUUCGUUCAGACAUUUUAAGAAACAAAUCAUUAGAAAGUGCAACAAAAUACGCUCUUAAUGUCUAGUAGAAACUAGAAAUUGAACCAGAUACUUAUGCAACCCUUUACAAAAGUUUUCCCCAACUAUAAGAGAAAAAUUAAAGCAAAAUGUAUGAUAACAUAAAUCGUUAGCCUCAUGAGUAAAGGAUUAUGUCCCAUAUUAAUUCGAGAGAUAGAGAAAGAGCGGUUAAUAUGUAAGUAAAGGUUCGAGACCUAAUAGUUUAAACUUUUGGGUCAGAGUUGGGUUCCUGACUUAUAUAUUAGACUAUUUGAUAGACUUUCUCGAGAUAUUUCUCCCUAACAAGUGGCAUCAGAGUUUCAUGGGUUCUCUCGAGAUAUUUCUUCCUAACAAAUGGCAUCAGAGUUUCAGGUUGCGAAACUGGACCAAAGUGUCAAAGAAUUUGGCUUAUGUUGCAUCAGGUGCGCCAUGAGUUUGGCAGGGUUAGCAAGGGUCUAGAAUCCAAUUUGGAUGGUGGAUCAAAGUAUUAAGGAAUUUGAGGUUGGCAAAAGUCUAGAAUCCAAUUUGGAUGGUGAACCAAAGUGUCAAGCAAUUUGGUUUUCUCUUCUUGAUGGUAAACCAAAGUGUCAAGGAAUUUGGCGCCAUGAGUUUGGCAGGGUUAGCAGGGAUAUAGAAUCCAGUUUGAAUGGUGAACCAAAGUGUCAAGAAAUUUAGUAGACUUGAAGAAGAGCUUAUAAAUUUGAGUAUAAUCUUGAGUUUAAUGUAAGGGGUUACUUAUAAAAGGGGGAGAUUUGUUAUGGGAGGGGUCUAGAAUCCAGUUUGGAUGGUGGACUUUGGUGAAUCAAAGUGUCAAGGAAUUUUGGGUUGGCAGGAGUUUAAAAUCCAGUUUGGAUGGCAAACCAAAGUGUAUAAAAGGGGGAGAUUUGUUAUGGGAAGCAUCUAGAAUCCAGUUUAGAUGGUGGACCAAUGGUGAACCAAAGUGUCAAGAAAUUUGAGGUUGGCAGGAGUCGAGAAUGCAGUUUGGAUGGUGAACCAAAGUAUCAAAGAAUUUAGUAGACUUGAAGAAGAGCUUGUAAACUUGGGUUUAAUCUUGGGUUUAAUGUGAGGGGUUACUUAUAAAAGGGAGAGAUUUGUUAUGGGUUUAAUGUGAAGGGUUACUCAUAAAAGAGGGAGAUUUGUUAGAUUCAUGAGUAAAUAAUAAUGUUCCGCAUUGAUUCGAAAGAUGGAGAAAGAGUGGUCAAUAUAUAAGUAAGAUCCCGAAACUUAAUAGAUUAAAUUGUUGGAUCAAAAUUAGAUUCUUGACUUACAUAUUUGGUUCUACGUGUUGGGUUCUUUGAUGGGAAUCAUAUCAUAUAAGACUCUUACGUUCUCACAAAAAUUUUCGCUAAAUGACUUUGCUGUAUGACAAUAACAGUGAAUUGGGCUCUAGAUCUUGUAACAGUACUAGGUUAUCUCAGUGGCUUAAAUGCUUCUCCUUCAUUUGUGUAUUCUGCCCUCAAUGUGGACCUUAUCUUGAAUUAAUGAAAAUUGACAUUUAUAUUUAUCAAAAAAAGAAAGGGAAAAAGAAUGGAGGAGUCUUGAGCACUACUGAUACCAAGUGGCCGACGGAAGCGAGGGCGGAGGGGGUUGGGGUGUGGUGGAAUUAAGGAUGGCAAUAGGACGGGGUUGGGAUGCAUUUUAUUCAAUUUAACCCUAACUUAGUCAAAACUCAGUCCUUUAUUUACUUAAAUUUAAAAUUUAGAUUCAAAAACUAGAUUAGAACCUAUUUUUAAGGGUCCGAAUGGAUUGAGUUUGAGUGAAUGUAAAUUUUUAUAUUUGAAAGCCGUUGAUUUACUUUAUAUUCUAAAGUUUCAAAUUAUUUUAUUUUAAUAAAGUUUAUAAAUUAUUAAAUUAUUUGACUAAAACGAUCCUACAAAUUAAGGGGUAUUUUAGUCAUUGAAAUAGUAAUCCCGUCUUAUCCAAUCUCCAAUCAAACACAAGAUAGGAUUAUUUUCCAAUAUAUCCUAUCCAAGCUAAAAUCAACCAAACACUAGAUGAUUUGGAUUGUUAAUCCAAGAAUGACUCAACCCAGGAUUAAUAAUUCGAGGUUGACUCAUCCUAUCUCAUUUAGUUUGUGGACCAAAUGAACCCUAAGUAAAUAAAACAAAUAGAAAGUAGAUUGGGGUAUUUGGAAUAACUGUCCAUAAGGAUAAAUUUAAUAUGAUUAAAUUUUUAUGUACUAUCGGUGUAGAGAAUUUUUUGAAUUUUUUACACUAGUAACUACAGAUGUAUGCGACCUAUGCAAAAACAGAAUUUCAAGUUUGAAAUCGAAUUAGGGGACAUGCAUUUACACUUUUUUUAUAUAUAAAAUAGUAAUUUUAUUACUAAAAUUGUUGGAAAUUGUCCAGCAACAAAUGAUUGAUAAAGAAUAGGGGACACGCACUUACACUUGCUCGUGUAUCCAUUGAUAGUACAUAGCUCAAACAAUUAGUUAUUUACGUGACAAGUAUUGAUUGGCUUCCGGCCGAAUGGUAGGAACCAAGGGACUAUAUAGCUAAUACAGGAAGUAUAAUUGGGCUUCUUGAUUUUGCUUGAGGGUUAAGUUUCAAUUUCUCCAAAUUCUAUCUAACAUCCUUCUCUUAUUCUUCUCUGUAAUGUGGAAAUCGUAGGGUGCCAAUUGAGAAUUAAAUUUCUAGGACCGUUAGGCCGCGACAAGUUCUUUCAUUUGUCAUGUCAACUCUCCAGCAGCUUAUGCUCAAAAAAAAAAAAUUUAAUUUAAUAGUCCCUGGAACCCUUUGUACAGAUCACGUAUGUGGUUUUCCAGUAACGUUUAACACCUAAAUGGAAUAGAAUGACCAAGAAAUUGCAUUUUUAAUAAUUGGAUGACAUUUUUGGCUAAGAAAAAGGUUAAGUAAUGCUAAUAUUUUUUUGCCAAGGGAAAAAAGUUAAGUGAUAAUUUUUGUUAAGAAAAAGGUCAAGUGAUGAAAGACAAAAAAUAAUAAAAGGUAAUAGUUUCAUUAUAUUAUGCACCAUUUGCUCUCAAAUGUAUUAGUAAAACAAUUACCAAAACUGCGUAAUUUUGGUACUAAACUUGAACAAGAAUCAUUAUUGAUUCUCAGUUGAACUUUCCAGAAGUGUUCCAACAUGCGUUUAAUUUUUUUUUAACUCCAACAUGCAUUUAAUUCAGUGGUGGCUUUUUUAAAUUUUCUUUCUUUUGAAUACUGAAUGUCCAAUUAUGUGAUCACCAGCCUUUUCAGGAAAGGCCCACUUAAAGUCGAUAUCAUCCUCCACUUGACAAGGGAAACGGAUGACGGAUGGAAUAUCCACAAGAAUCUAACCACCAAAAGCCCGUAGGCCCUGCACUUUUCUUACAGGUCAACCCCAUCAAGGAUUUGGAUGCCACGACAGGGACAAAUAACGUCAGAACACAGAAGGUAAGAAUCACAGAAUCAGAAAAUUGUCUUGAUACAUGAGACGCGUAGGGCUCUUUGCCUUUCAUGCAACAGCAAAGACAUUUAAUUGUUGCACCCUCUACAGCUCAUUCGUGAGAGCUGCAUCACCGGUGGAACUUUGGCAUCAUAAAGGAAGGCUAAUAUUUGCAAUUGCACAAGUUCCCUUGUAUCUUUUUAAUUUUGUCCAAAAAGCAAGUAGAGGAGCAAAAAAGACAACACACAUGAGAUGACACACCAAUCUACAGCUUCUAAAUAUCAAGACGAAUGCCAUUACUUGAACGAAAAUAUGUGUGCUUCUCAACAUUAGCAAAUUAAUCAAUGAAUUCUUUUCAUAUGGUAGGGGAAAGUUAUGAACUUGGGCAAUAGCUAUUGGUGGGCAAAAAUCAAAUUAGCUUCUCCAAGUCCAAUCCCAUGAGGGGGUUAGAGUGUUUAAAGCGAACUCUGGUUAUUGCUGAUGGGAGGAGUGUUCAACCAGCACUUCUACACGCUCUGAAUCUGCUUGGC
rnacentral:lncRNA from 1 species